rnacentral:rRNA from 1 species
UGGGGAAUAUUGGACAAUGGGGGCAACCCUGAUCCAGCAAUGCCGCGUGAGUGAUGAAGGCCUUAGGGUUGUAAAGCUCUUUUGGCGGGGACGAUAAUGACGGUACCCGCAGAAUAAGCCCCGGCUAACUUCGUGCCAGCAGCCGCGGUAAUACGAAGGGGGCGAGCGUUGUUCGGAAUUACUGGGCGUAAAGGGCGCGUAGGCGGCGAUCCUAGUCAGAUGUGAAAGUCCUGGGCUUAACCUGGGGACUGCAUUUGAUACUGGAUUGCUUGAAUGCAGGAGAGGAUAGCGGAAUUCCCAGUGUAGAGGUGAAAUUCGUAGAUAUUGGGAAGAACACCGGUGGCGAAGGCGGCUAUCUGGACUGUGAUUGACGCUGAGGCGCGAAAGCGUGGGGAGCAAACAG